rnacentral:rRNA from 1 species
CCGCAUAAGCGCACGGCAUCGCAUGAUGCAGUGUGAAAAACUCCGGUGGUAUAAGAUGGACCCGCGUUGGAUUAGCUAGUUGGUGAGGUAACGGCCCACCAAGGCGACGAUCCAUAGCCGACCUGAGAGGGUGACCGGCCACAUUGGGACUGAGACACGGCCCAAACUCCUACGGGAGGCAGCAGUGGGGAAUAUUGCACAAUGGGCGAAAGCCUGAUGCAGCGACGCCGCGUGAGCGAAGAAGUAUUUCGGUAUGUAAAGCUCUAUCAGCAGGGAAGAUAAUGACGGUACCUGACUAAGAAGCACCGGCUAAAUACGUGCCAGCAGCCGCGGUAAUACGUAUGGUGCAAGCGUUAUCCGGAUUUACUGGGUGUAAAGGGAGCGCAGGCGGUGCGGCAAGUCUGAUGUGAAAGCCCGGGGCUCAACCCCGGUACUGCAUUGGAAACUGUCGUACUAGAGUGUCGGAGGGGUAAGCGGAAUUCCUAGUGUAGCGGUGAAAUGCGUAGAUAUUAGGAGGAACACCAGUGGCGAAGGCGGCUUACUGGACGAUAACUGACGCUGAGGCUCGAAAGCGUGGGGAGCAAACAGGAUUAGAUACCCUGGUAGUCCACGCCGU